AUACGGAGGAUGCAAGCGUUAUCCGGAUUUAUUGGGUUUAAAGGGUGCGUAGGCUGUCUGUCAAGUCAGGGGUGAAAUGCCACAGCUUAACUGUGGAACUGCCUUUGAUACUGGCAGGCUGGAAUACGGAUGCCGUGGGAGGAAUGAGUAGUGUAGCGGUGAAAUGCAUAGAUAUUACUCAGAACACCGAUUGCGAAGGCAUCUCACGAAUCCGUCAUUGACGCUGAGGCACGAAAGCGUGGGGAUCAAACAGGAUUAGAUACCCUGGUAGUCCACGCAGUAAACGAUGAUAACUAACCGUUGGCGAUAGACAGUCAGUGGCCAAGCGAAAGCGAUAAGUUAUCCACCUGGGGAGUACGUUCGCAAGAAUGAAACUCAAAGGAAUUGACGGGG
rnacentral:rRNA from 1 species